UUAGUUAUCUCGUUAACGAGUUACUUCAUAGUGCACUUCUUCCAAUCAUUCCUGACAGUCCACGCAUUGCUGAUGUACGGAGCCCCCCUAGAUGAUGUACUUAAGUAAAGUUGGAAAGAUAUUUACUUAUUCAAACUUCCUGGAUCAAUA